UUGGGAAUCUUGGACAAUGGGGGAAACCCUGAUCCAGCCAUGCCGCGUGAGUGAUGAAGGCCUUAGGGUUGUAAAGCUCUUUCGCACGCGACGAUAAUGACGGUAGCGUGAGAAGAAGCCCCGGCUAACUUCGUGCCAGCAGCCGCGGUAAUACGAAGGGGGCUAGCGUUGUUCGGAAUUACUGGGCGUAAAGCGCGCGCAGGCGGGUCAUCAAGUCAGAGGUGAAAGCCCGGAGCUUAACUCCGGAAUAGCCUUUGAAACUGUUGAUCGUGAGUACGGGAGAAGUGAGUGGAAUUCCCAGUGUAGAGGUGAAAUUCGUAGAUAUUGGGAAGAACACCAGUGGCGAAGGCGGCUCACUGGCCCGUUACUGACGCUCAGGCGCGAUAGCGUGGGGAUCAAACA
rnacentral:rRNA from 1 species